AUUCGACAAUAGCAAACCUAGCGAAAGCCAGGGACGCAAAGCUAUGGGUCUUCCUGGAUACACUCCUGAUGAUCGCCAAGCUACCGAA
rfam:Desulfitobacterium hafniense Y51 DNA, complete genome.